GUAAGCAUUCGUUGAUAUUCGUAAACAUUCGUUGACACAAUCCAUGGUGGGAGAAUAUGAUGCUGCCGCCUGGACUGUGUAUUGGAACUACGACAACUUCCGUCCCCACUGAAAUAUACGGAGUUUGUACCCGCGGACACGAACUAUCGCUGUCUCUCGAAACGUGGAAGAGCCUCUACGAGCAACGAUGUAAUAUUUACAAGAUGUAAUAUUUUCAAAAAGAAUAUACAAGGAUAAUUUUAUAAACGUUGAACCGCUAAUUAUCAGAGUUUGUACACUGAACAAUGCUACGCUCAUGUAUCGAUAUAAUGUUCGAACGAUUCCGACUCGUCGAUAUGGUCGAUGUCAAAUAUACAUGAUUCUCCAACAUCGUGCCUGAAGAUGCUAUACGCGUAUAGCGAUAUCUUCAAUGGACAUCAGCUCAUCGAUUGUGAGGUAUUAGCUUUAGUUUUAAAUACGUAUGAAAAAAAACGAUAUAAUAACAUGUGAAUAAAAAAUAUUUCGUUCA